GCACAAGCGGUGGAGCAUGUGGUUUAAUUCGAAGCAACGCGAAGAACCUUACCAAAUCUUGACAUCCUUUGACAACUCUAGAGAUAGAGCCUUCCCCUUCGGGGGACAAAGUGACAGGUGGUGCAUGGUUGUCGUCAGCUCGUGUCGUGAGAUGUUGGGUUAAGUCCCGCAACGAGCGCAACCCUUAAGCUUAGUUGCCAGCAUUAAGUUGGGCACUCUAGGUUGACUGCCGGUGACAAACCGGAGGAAGGUGGGGAUGACGUCAAAUCAUCAUGCCCCUUAUGAUUUGGGCUACACACGUGCUACAAUGGACGGUACAAAGGGCAGCGAACCCGCGAGGUCAAGCAAAUCCCAUAAAGCCGUUCUCAGUUCGGAUUGUAGUCUGCAACUCGACUACAUGAAGCUGGAAUCGCUAGUAAUCGUAGAUCAGCAUGCUACGGUGAAUACGUUCCCGGGUCUUGUACACACCGCCCGUCACACCACGAGAGUUUGUAACACCCGAAGCCGGUGGAGUAACCUUUUAGGAACUAGCCGUCGAAGGUGGG
rnacentral:rRNA from 1 species